rnacentral:rRNA from 1 species
GAUGAACGCUGGCGGCGUGCCUAAUACAUGCAAGUCGAGCGAACAGACGAGGAGCUUGCUCCUCUGACGUUAGCGGCGGACGGGUGAGUAACACGUGGAUAACCUACCUAUAAGACUGGGAUAACUUCGGGAAACCGGAGCUAACACCGGAUAAUAUAUUGCACCGCAUGGUUCAAUAGUGAAAGACGGUUUUGCUGUCACUUAUAGAUGGAUCCGCGCCGCAUUAGCUAGUUGGUAAGGUAACGGCUUACCAAGGCAACGAUGCGUAGCCGACCUGAGAGGGGGAUCGGCCACACUGGAACUGAGACACGGUCCAGACGCCUACGGGAGGCAGCAGUAGGGAAUCUUCCGCAAUGGGCGAAAGCCUGACGGAGCAACGCCGAGUGAAUGAUGAAGGUCUUCGGAUCGUAAAACUCUGUUAUUAGGGAAGAACAAAUGUGGAAGUAACUAUGCACGUCUUGACGGUACCUAAUCAGAAAGCCACGGCUAACUACGUG